UUAUGUGCAUGCCUACACCGCUAAUGCAACAUAUCCCAUUAGAACUUUGAAAUUAAGUGCGCUUGGGAGAGAGUAGUAUUGGGAUGGGUGACUGCUCGAGAAGUCCUGGUGUUUUACAUGCC
rnacentral:rRNA from 1 species